UUUCUUUUUUAUCUUAACUAUGUUUAGUUUUCAUUUUAUUAAGACUUUUUUAUAUAAAUUAUGUUUGUGUAUUGACUUUGCUUCGACAUAAGUAAUAUAAUCUUUGGUUUAUUAUAUUUUAGUUUUAUUAAUUAAUUAUUUAAUUUUAAAAUGUGAAUUGAAGUAACAAAAUAUUUGGUAACCGUUUCUGACUAAAUUGUAAUGAUUUUUACAAAUAUUUUAUAUCGAUUUUAGUAAGAAAAAUAGUUACAAUAAAAAAAUAUUAUAACAAUUAUAUGAUUAUAGUGUAGUUAUUAAUUGUGACGGGUUUCUAACAGUAUUAUGGUCACUAAUUGUGUUAUGUUUUUGUGAUUAUAAUUUAGUAACUAGUUAUAACAAAUUUUAUGAUAUUUUUGUUUGUAAUAAUUUAUAGUGGAUCAGUGACGUAAAUAUAGUAAGAAUUUGUUACAAAUAUGUGACAAUUUUUUGUCACAGCUUAUGACCUAAUUGUGAUAGUAUUUUUUGUCAUAAACUGUAUCGUUUUCGUGACUGUUUUAAUAUCGUUACAAGUGGUGACAAAUUGUUACUACUGUCAAUCGUCACAUCACGUUAUGACGUUUUUAUGACAAAUGAAUUUGUGACGAUCAAGAUAUCGUCCUAGUCUUAACCUUAAACGAUGCCGACCAGGGAUGAGCGGAUGUUGCCUUUAGGACUCCGCUGGCACCUUAUGAGAAAUCAAAGUUUUUGGGUUCCGGAGUGUGUAUGGUCUCAAGGCUGAAACUUAAAGGAAUUGAGGGAAGGGCACCACUAGGAGUAGAGCCUGCGGCUUAAUUUGACUAAACACGAGGAAACUUACUAGGUCCAGACAUACUAAGGAUUGACAGACAGAGAGCUCUCUCUUGAUUCUAUGGGUGGUGGUGCAUGGCCGUUCUUAGUUGGUGGAGCGAUUUGUCUGGUUAAUUCCGUUAACGAACAAGACCUCAGCCUGCUAACUAGCUACAUGGAGGCAUCCCUUCACGGCCGGCUUCUUAGAGGGACUAUGGCCGUUUAGGCCAAGGAAGUUUGAGGUAAUAACAGGUCUGUGAUGCCCUUUGAUGCUAUGGGCCGCACACGCGCAACACUGAUGUAUUCAACGAGUUCACACCUUGGCCGUCAGGUCCGAGUAAUCUUUGAAAUUUCAUCGUGAUGGGGAUAGAUCAUUGCAAUUGUUGGUCUUCAACGAGGAAAUCAUCAUCAGCUCGCGUUGACUACAUCGCUGCCCUUUGUACACACCGCCCGUCGCUCCUACCGAUUGAAUGAACCUGUGAAGUGUUCGGAUCGUGGCGAUGUGGGUAGUUUGCGGUCUGCGACUUCGUGAGAAGUCCAUAAACCUUAUCAUUUAGAGGAAGGAGAAGACGUAACAAGGUUUCCGUAGGUGAACCUGCGGAAG
rnacentral:rRNA from 1 species